ACAAUUCUCCCUUUUCACAUUGGCCUCUGGGCUUUAUUCAUCUCUUUCAUCCACCAAAACUAGAAAUACAACUCAUCUCUCUCCUCCACCUAAAUCGAAGCAAGGUAGCUCAAAACCCAUUUCAAAAAAUUGAUCAAUUACUUUGGUCACAAACUAGAGACCAUGACGACAAAGUUGAUGACGCCAAUAUCGACAACGAAUGAUUCACAACUGCCAUGUAAGAGAGUAUAGUGAGUUUCGCCAUCGAACACCCAAUCAUCCAGCUGUUUUGGAGCCACGAAUGAGGUAUGUAUCAAUUUCUUUUAGUCCAUGUUAUUUUUAUUAUCUAAAAUUAGAAUUUUCAGUGAAAAAUUGAAAGUGGGUCUCAAAAAAUUUUGAGAGCGUAUCUGUUUCUCCUGAUUUUUCGAUCGAUUUGUGUUAGUUGCAGUUAAAUGAUUAAUCCAAUUCGUGUUGAAGAUAGAGCUAAGUCGAAUAUCUCUGUGGUCCUGUAAUUGAUUGAAAAUGGGUCUAGAUUUUAGCUGUGUGCUUCUGAUUUUUUCCAUGGAUUCAUGAUAGAUGAAAAUGGUUGAUGAAGAUUUGCUUGACAUGUAUAUAGACGGUAUUUUGUUAAAGGGGUUUUUAAUUUUUUUUUCCCUUUUUUGGUGGUUUCGAUUGUGGUAUUUACAUGCCUUGGGUUGAGAAAAACGAAAAUGGUUUGUUGCACUCUUUUGUGUUGGAUCAGUGAGUUUAGGCGAUUUGAAAUGGUUUGCGGCAUUCAAUUGAUUGUUUAUUUAUGUGGUUUGAUAUGGGAAAAGCAUAAUAAAAUUCAAUUGUUCCAUAUAUCAAUUUGGAUGUGAUUUGAAAUUAUGAACUACAAAAAGUUAAAAUUAAUUUCUUAUUAUAUUUUCAAUUGAAAGUUACUAUUGUCUUCUUUUUAGUACUUAGUAUGCAUUUUUCCCCAUCUUCUAGUGGUGGUGUUACACCCAUUUUUAAUUUGAUCGGCAUCUUCUUCUGUACAUGCAUGUUUCUUGGAUUCCAAUUUUUGUUUCAUAUGAUGAAGCUAAUUUAAUUCCUCCUUUUUAAUAUCAACUUUGUUCAUCUAGGUUUGCGAUUUUGAUCUUUCUCAUUUGAAGGCAAACACAUUUAUGUCAUCAAAAUUUCCAAUGUUUUUUUAUUUUAUAGUAUCCAAACUGCUUAUGGCAAUAUGAAAUUGAGAAUAUUUCUUUCAUCAUGUUAACCUGAGUGGAUGGUGGAUGAUGUUUGUGUAAAAGAUUUAAGUUAUUUGUAUUAUAGAAUAUGUCUUAUGUUUCGAUUUGCAAUUUCACCAUUAAAUUGGCUUUGUAAAUGAUUAGAAGCUAAAUGCAUAAAAUGAAAACAAUAGUAGCAUUUCUGAGUGGGGUAUAAUCAGAUGCUAAGAUGGUGAUCCAUGACUUGUAAUUUCUAUUGUCGUUAUAAUUGGACUAGAUCGAGGUAAACUGACUUUUCUUGUUCUGGUUUUUUUUUGGUUCUUUGUUCUAGAUUUUUCUUUCUUUGUUUUACUUCUGGUUUCUUCUUCAUCAUAUUCAAUAACUGGCAGGAGCAAAUGGAGAGGAAGAGGGUAGAAUAUGCUUUAAAAAAAAAGAGAUAGCUCUAAUUCAAAAAUAAGGAGAAGAGAAAAGGGCAAUGAUUGAAGUUGUGGAGAAGAAAUUCUUAAUGCAUAGGAGAUGACAACAAAGUGUUGCAACUGGGAGCAGUUUUAAAGUACUAUUCGAUUGCUUUUCUAAUCAAAUUGUCUUUUGUACCUAUUUACACACAUAUUUGUAUUUGUAAUUUGAAUUUUACAUUUUCUCAAGACAACUAUGUUUAUUUUUUUUAAAAUCUGAAUGUAACUAAAAUAUUAAAGUUUUUGUACUUAUUACUCUAUUUGAUGAUUUUUUAUUUUUUAG
rnacentral:lncRNA from 1 species